GAUGAACGCUGGCGGCGUGCCUAAUACAUGCAAGUCGAGCGAACGGACGAGAAGCUUGCUUCUCUGAUGUUAGCGGCGGACGGGUGAGUAACACGUGGAUAACCUACCUAUAAGACUGGGAUAACUUCGGGAAACCGGAGCUAAUACCGGAUAAUAUUUUGAACCGCAUGGUUCAAAAGUGAAAGACGGUCUUGCUGUCACUUAUAGAUGGAUCCGCGCUGCAUUAGCUAGUUGGUAAGGUAACGGCUUACCAAGGCAACGAUGCAUAGCCGACCUGAGAGGGUGAUCGGCCACACUGGAACUGAGACACGGUCCAGACUCCUACGGGAGGCAGCAGUAGGGAAUCUUCCGCAAUGGGCGAACGCCUGACGGAGCAACGCCGCGUGAGUGAUGAAGGUCUUCGGAUCGUAAAACUCUGUUAUUAGGGAAGACCAUAUGUGUAAGUAACUGUGCACAUCUUGACGGUACCUUAUCAGAAAGCCACGGCUAACUACGUG
rnacentral:rRNA from 1 species